rnacentral:tRNA from 1 species
GUCCCCAUAGUUUAAUGGAUAAAACGACUCCCUUCUAAGGAGUAGAUCGAGGUUCGAUUCCUCGCGGGGGCA